GGACCGGUAGGAUUUGAACAGCUCCUUUUCUUAGCCGUCAGUUUGAUAAUCAAUAAAAAGCUGCAUUAGAAAUAUGCUGAGGUCGUGGGUUCAAAUCCCACCACACGGUCCA
rnacentral:tRNA from 1 species